AAAAUGCUUAUGUAGCCCCCAGGGAGGGGGGUCUUCGCCUUUGCCUUCCCUGACCUGGGUCUUGUCUGCCUUCCUGGGAUGUUUGACUCCCAAAUGCAAGGCUGGUGGGACUGGGCUGGCUCCCUGCUCACCGUCACACACCCCUUCUCUCCUUGCUUUCUAGGGCAUCAUCGAGGACAACCAGUGGCUGCAAGAGCAGCUGGUCCAACUCCUGGUCCGUUACGCUGGCCUUGAGGUGGCUGUCCAGUGGGCCCGGCACUACAGACUCCUGGGGGACAGCUUGCCGCCUGGCCUGGCAGCCAGGAUGGACGAGCCAGCCAUCCCGGAGAGGGACGAUGCCUCCCAGCAGGGCCCGAGCGCCUGGGACAGCCUGCAGGAGGGCUGCUAUCAGCUCCCCGUGCCGAGGGCGGACGUCCUUUUCUUAUCAACCUGGGAAGAGGUGAUGGCGUGCCAGGAACAGGUGCUCCAGGUGAGGACUUCUUUCCCUCCUCUGGCUUAAAAAGACCCCCUGAGUCACUUUA
rnacentral:lncRNA from 1 species